rnacentral:pre_miRNA from 1 species
AGUGGGAUAACUGGGUCAAAGGUAUUCCAUUCCAAGUUUUCUAAGGAAUCUCCAUAUUGCUUUCCAGAGUGUGGCACCAGUUUGCAUUCCCAUCAGCAAU